UAUAUACUCCCUCCGUUCCUAAAUACUUGUCUUUCUAGGCAUUUCAACAAGUGACUACAUACGGAGCAAAAUGAGUGAAUCUACACUCUAAAAUAUGUCUACAUACAUCCGUAUGUAGUAGUCAUUUGAAAUGUCUAGAAAGACAAGUAUUUAGGAACGGAGGGAGUACAAA
rnacentral:pre_miRNA from 1 species